rnacentral:miRNA from 1 species
UGUGUAGAGGCGAGAAAUAUGCC